GGUCCUGUAGUACAAUGGAUAGUAUAAGAGUUUCCGAAGCUCCAGAUCCAGGUUCGAUUCCUGGCAAGACCA
rnacentral:tRNA from 1 species